AGCCUCCUGCUGUUUAUCCCAGUCUGUGUUCUUAUACUGACUGUAUAGAAAGAGGAAGGAAAGCAAACCUACCCCAUGUACACACAUCAGUCCAGUGCACCUGGACUCUACUGUGAGUGGGAAGACAUCA
rnacentral:snoRNA from 1 species